UACGAAGGGGGCUAGCGUUGUUCGGAAUUACUGGGCGUAAAGCGCACGUAGGCGGGCAUUUAAGUCAGGGGUGAAAUCCCAGAGCUCAACUCUGGAACUGCCUUUGAUACUGGGUACCUAGAGUAUGGAAGAGGUGAGUGGAAUUCCGAGUGUAGAGGUGAAAUUCGUAGAUAUUCGGAGGAACACCAGUGGCGAAGGCGGCUCACUGGUCCAUUACUGACGCUGAGGUGCGAAAGCGUGGGGAGCAAACAGG
rnacentral:rRNA from 1 species